CGGAGAGUUUGAUCCUGGCUCAGGAUGAACGCUGGCGGCGUGCCUAAUACAUGCAAGUCGAACGGGUGUAGCAAUACAUUAGUGGCGAACGGGUGAGUAACACGUUGGUGACCUGCCCUAAAGAGGGGAAUACCACUUCGAAAGGAGUGACAAAACCGCAUACGCUUUUGGAAGUUAGAGAACCAAAAGGAAAAGUGAAAACUACUUUAGGAGGGGCCUGCGGCCCAUCAGCUAGUUGGUGAGGGUAAAAGCCCACCAAGGCGAAGACGGGUAGGGGACCUGAGAGGGUGAUCCCCCACAAUGGAACUGAAACACGGUCCAUACACCUGCGGGUGGCAGCAGUAGGGAAUAUUGCUUAAUGGGCGAAAGCCUGAAGCAGCAACGCCGCGUGAACGAAGAAGGCCUUCGGGUCGUAAAGUUCUUUUAGGUGGGAUGAGGAAGGACAGUACCACCAGAAUAAGUCUCGGCUAACUACGUGCCAGCAGCCGCGGUAAAACGUAGGAGACGAGCGUUAUCCGGAUUUACUGGGCGUAAAGAGCGUGUAGGAGGCAGUACAAGUUGGAUGUGAAAGCUCCCGGCUUAACUGGGAGAGGUCGUUCAAAACUGUACAGCUAGAGGAAGGCAGAGGUAGACGGAACUCCGGGAGUAGUGGUGAAAUGCGUAGAUAUCCGGAAGAACACCAGAGGCGAAGGCGGUCUACUGGGCCUUAACUGACACUGAGACGCGAAAGCCAGGGUAGCAAACGGGAUUAGAGACCCCGGUAGUCCUGGCCGUAAACGAUGCAGACUGGGCGUUUAUGGGGUAAAACCUGUGAGUGCCGAAGCAAACGCGAUAAGUCUGCCGCCUGGGGAGUACGGUCGCAAGAUUAAAACUCAAAGGAAUUGACGGGGGCCCGCACAAGCAGCGGAGCGUGUGGUUUAAUUCGAUGAUACGCGAAGAACCUUACCAGGGUUUGACAUACAAGUGGUAGAGAAAGGAAACUGGACCGACCCUUCGGGGAGCUUGAACAGGUGCUGCAUGGCUGUCGUCAGCUCGUGUCGUGAGAUGUUCGGUUAAGUCCGCUAACGAGCGCAACCCUUGUUGUGUGUUACAAGUAUCACGCAAGACCGCCGGUAGAAAGCCGGAGGAAGGUGGGGAUGACGUCAAGUCAGCAUGGCCUAUAUAUCCUGGGCUACACACACGCUACAAUGAUCGGUACAAUGGGUCGCGAAGCCGCGAGGCGGAGCCAAUCCUAAAAAGCCGGUCUCAGUGCAGAUUGCAGGCUGCAACUCGCCUGCAUGAAGAUGGAGUUGCUAGUAACCGCAGGUCAGCGAUACUGCGGUGAAUACGUUCCCGGGCCUUGUACACACCGCCCGUCACGUCAUGGAAGUUGGCAACACCUGAAGCCGGUAUCCUAACCGCAAGGAGGGAGCCGUCAAAGGUGGGGUUGAUAACUGGGACGAAGUCGUAACAAGGUAGGGCUACCGGAAGGUGGCCCUGGAUCACCUCCUUUCUA
rnacentral:rRNA from 1 species